AAGCAAUAGUGAUGACACAUGUGACGUCUGUAUGUAGUUUCUACUACUACAUGAUGACAGCAGUCCCUCUAAGCUGACAUUGCCU